rnacentral:rRNA from 1 species
AUGGGUUUCCCGCGGGACAGCAUUACUGCCAUGGUGCCCCUGGCCGCCGCGCUGUACGUGCGCUUGGCGUCGUCGGUCCUCGGCCCUGGCCUCGUCCGCCUUGUCGCCCUGCUCCCGGUGCUCACGUUCCUUGCGGCCGUCCCGCUUGCCUUCUCCUCUACCAUCCUCCGGGGUACCGCAGCUCUGUUCCUCGCAUGGCUCUGUUUGUUUAAGGUGGCCCUCCUCGCCGUCGGCAGCAGGCCGCUCGACCCCGCCCUCCCCGUGAUCCCGUUCGUAUUCACGGCCUCGCUCCCCGUGAUGCCCCGUCGCAGCCGCCCCGGUGCCAAAGCCAACCCAGGGUCAGGGCACGUCGUCUCUUGCGCGGCCAAGGUCGCCGCCUUAGCCGCCAUCCUCCAACUGUUCAGGAACCGGCUGCAUCUCCACGCGCGCCUCGCUCUGUACGGCAUUGUGCUCUACUGCUUCUUCUACCUCCUCCUCGCAUGCCUUGCGGCCAUCGGCGGCGCGCUCGGCAUGGACAUGGAACGACCGUUUGACCGUCCGCUCCUAGCGUCGUCGCUGAGCGACUUCUGGGGCCGGCGGUGGAACCUCGUCAUGUCCGGCAUCCUCCGGGCGGCGGUCUAUGACCCCAUGCAGGCACGGGUAGGGAAACCCGCUGGGAUCAUGGCUACGUUCCUCGUGUCCGGACUGAUGCACGAGGCCAUGAUGUGCUAUAUCACCCUGCGGCGCCCAACCGGCGCGAUGCUCGCCUUCUUCAUGCUCCAGGGCGCGGCCCGCGUGGCGGAGGACUGGUGCUCGGCAAGAGGGUUGCGUCCACGCCCGAGGGCUGUGAGAACGCUGCUUGUGUUGGUGUCCAUCGCGAGCACGGCGUUCUGGCUAAUCUUGCCGCUGGUUUCCAUGAGCGGAGCCGAGGAGAAGUUACUUGAGGAGUGGGCGGCAGUGACGGCCUUCUUCCAGGACGGCGGCAGAUAUCUUCUCCCGUACCGGUGA